GUGAAUUCAUCCCAGAGAAAAGGUCUCCUCUCUUCCUUAACCCCAGUCCUCGUUGUCAUCCAAGGACAGCAGGAGUUUGCCUCGACUCCAGCAGGUGCAUAUAUAAAGCUUGCUGAAUAAACCACCACUCCAUUUUGGCAUAGGGAUAUAUAAAGAACUUGGCUGACUCUGAAGGAUAUGCAAGGAAAGUCUGUCUUGAUUCCUGAGACGAGAAGGAAAAAAAAAAAAAAUUUGGAAGGUUGUGGCAUUC